rnacentral:misc_RNA from 1 species
GUUUUACAAAUAAAUGGUGCCUGGCCAUCAUGAUAUCCCAACCAUUUCUUGAUGUAGGUGGAUUGAUCCUCUUAGGUCCCAAUAACAGUGAACCAAUCUAAUUUGCUGCCACAACAUCAUUCCUUAGUAAAUUAUACAAUCUUUCCCUUUUGCAAUUGCUUAGCUAGGUUGUUAUCAAUUGAUGCGGGCCUAUCGCUUGCCUACUCAAAGAAGCUAUCUUGCAUCUUACUCAAGCUAUUGCAUAUGGUUUCAGCCUUUCAGGCUCCUUAAAAUUGUGCUU